UACGAAGGGGGCUAGCGUUGCUCGGAAUCACUGGGCGUAAAGGGUGCGUAGGCGGGUCUUUAAGUCCGGGGUGAAAUCCUGGAGCUCAACUCCAGAGCUGCCUUUGAUACUGAGGAUCUUGAGUUCGGGAGAGGUGAGUGGAACUGCGAGUGUAGAGGUGAAAUUCGUAGAUAUUCGCAAGAACACCAGUGGCGAAGGCGGCUCACUGGCCCGAUACUGACGCUGAGGCACGAAAGCGUGGGGAGCAAACAGG
rnacentral:rRNA from 1 species